UUGCAUGUUGUGAGGACUCUCACACACCCCUAUACCAAGGUCUACGUGGUCAACAAUUGAGGCUUCCCGACAACAGCCAGCACCACCUUGCCAGGCCUGUGAAUGAAUGAUUGACUUACAAGUGGAUCUGCUAGUCCCAGUCAAGCCUUCAGGUAACUGUAGUUCCAGCCAACAUCUAGACUGCCACCUCAUGAGAGAACCUGAACUAGCCAGAUCCUUUGAACUCUUUCAAGCUAUGUUUCAAGACUUUCUGGGCUUUGACGGGGCUGGGCAUUCACUGUAAAAGCAGUCAAUGCCUCAGUGAGACCACAAGCAAAACUGUGAGUGUCUUAAGCAGGGACCACACAACUCUUGGCUUUGUGCUUGACAAUAAGAAGAGAUUUAAAAAGGUAUAAAAGGCAAGAUCUUUGCUCUCCCAGAAUUCCUGAGUGAGGCAAUAUGUGCUCAACAGUGUCAGGCAAGUAGCAGCGUGCAGAAGGAACAGAAGGAGCGGCUUGGGUGUGACAAGCUGGAACCUGCACACAGCUGCAGGAGGAGGGUGUUCUGAGACUUCGAAGAUCAGCACGCCCCUUCCAACCUUUCAGAGGAAGCUAUUGAAAAUGAAAAGACAUGACUUCUCAAUACCAAGUUUAUUUGAAAAGGAAUGAAACCAAUGUAACAGAUUGUCUUGUGUCUAUCCUGCUUCCAAUAGAAGUCCCCUGUGAUUAUACAGGAAUGCCUGGCCUUUCUCAUAUGAACUGAAACAUUCCAAGGGGAGUGAAAAUUUGAGACGUCACAAGUGUAUAAGAAUUGCUGCAUGAAAUGGCCUGCAUUUAAAGAUUUAGGAGAAGAAAAAGAUUCGUAAACAGUAAAGGGAUAAAAGGUAGCAGGAUAAUGGUGAGCAGGAGUUCAAAAAAUAGUAGCCUGAUGCUGCAUUAAUAGACCGUAGCCUCUGGCUCAGCAGUGAGUGAUAGGGCAGUCACGAGAGGUGUGGUGGUCUUUCUGAUGAGGGACUGCCUGCUGCAACCAAAUUUGAAUUCAAACAACCACUGCUCUGAUUUUUAAAUUUUUUAUUGGAUGUUUUAUAAAUUACAAAGUAAUUCAAUCUAGCUACAAGUGAAACAAUAUAAAAAUGUGUAAGAGAACACUAAUUAUUGCUGCUCCUUCUAU